rnacentral:rRNA from 1 species
UACGGGGGGGGCAAGCGUUGUUCGGAAUUACUGGGCGUAAAGGGUGCGUAGGCGGCUUUCUAAGUUGGAUGUGAAAACUCUGGGCUCAACCCAGAGCCUGCAUCCAAAACUGGAAGGCUAGGGUUCUGGAGGGGAAAGCGGAAUUCCUGGUGUAGCGGUGAAAUGCGUAGAUAUCAGGAGGAACACCGGUGGCGAAGGCGGCUUUCUGGACAGAUACCGACGCUGAGGCACGAAAGCUAGGGGAGCAAACAGG